ensembl:snRNA U6 U6 spliceosomal RNA
GCUCUCCUUGGCAGAAUAUGCACUAAAAUUGGAACAAUACAGAGAAAAUUACUAUGGCCCCUUCAACAUGGUUAAUGUGCAAAUUUGUGAAGUGUUCUGUAUUUUA